rnacentral:misc_RNA from 1 species
GAUGAAGAACGUAGCGAAAUGCGAUAAGUAAUGUGAAUUGCAGAAUUCAGUGAAUCAUCGAAUCUUUGAACGCACUGCGCCCGCCAGUAUUCUGGCGGGCAUGCCUGUUCGAGCGUCAUUUCAACCCUCAGGUCCCCCUUUUCGGAGGGGGAGACACCCUGGUGUUGGGGGACGGCCUGGCCUUCUGCGCCGCGCCGCCCCCGAAAUGAAUUGGCGGCCUCGUCGCGUGCCACCCCUGCGUAGUAGCACAACCUCGCAACGGGAGCCCGACGCGGCCACUGCCGUAAAACGCCCAACUUUUAAGAGUUGAACUCGAAUCAGGUAGGAAUACCCGCUGAACUUAAGCAUAUCAAUAAGCGGAGGA